CAGUCGCCGCGGGAAAACGAAGGGGGCUAGCGUUGCUCGGAAUGACUGGGCGUAAAGGGCGCGUAGGCGGAAUGCUUUGUCGGGCGUGAAAUCCCCGGGCUCAACCUGGGAACUGCAUUUGUGACUGCAAGGCUAGAGUACGGUAGAGGGGGAUGGAAUUCCGCGUGUAGCAGUGAAAUGCGUAGAUAUGCGGAGGAACACCAAUGGCGAAGGCAAUCCCCUGGACCUGUACUGACGCUCAUGCACGAAAGCGUGGGGAGCAAACAGGAUUAGAUACCCCUGUAGUCCCUGUCUCUUAUAC
rnacentral:rRNA from 1 species